CCGGGUAUCAUGUGAGGGCACCCUGCAGAGGAGAAAACGGGGGGAGACCUCAAAAGCAAUAGCAGGAAAAGCAAAAGGGCUUUGUCUGAGUGCGGGAGCACAAGCAGCAGCACAGAAAACAUCUUCUAGUGAACAUCUAGCAUCCGGAAUGUGCCAUGACAGUCAAAAACUGGUUUGCACACAGGACAGUGAGGGAGUUGAAAGAGUCAUGUCUGACAGGGAGGAACAUCGCUCACAACACAUCAGCUUUCCGGAAGUUAAAAACUCAGUUUAUGCUUGAUUUCAGGUACUGGUCUAGCUUCUUGAGUUUCUAUAUGAUUCACUGGCUGCCUACCUUAAAACACAUCAGUCACUUUUCUGUGUUUUAUCUAUAUGGUAUAAUGCAGCAUAGAGGUAAUACAUCUCUCUGAAGAGCGGGGGAAAACUCUG